AACACUCCACUAACAGCCUGAACAUGCAGGUAUGAUGUUAUAUAACUAUCACAGAAGAGGAAAUGGAUGUACAACAAUAUGGAUGUUACUGGUUGAACUCACAACUCCCAGCCACACAAUGCUACCUUUCAAAAUGCAUCAUAUUCAGUAUUCCAUUUGUGGCCAAGGGGGAGGGGGAAGAAGAGGAAGAAAUGAAGCAUUGCUUCCAAAUGAGAAGAGGUCAACUAAUACAAGCUCAAAGGUGGUAUUAGAUGUUUCUUCAGCUUCUUCUAUAAGAAAAAAGGGCCCUAAAACAAGAU
rnacentral:misc_RNA from 1 species